UCUGAGGAGCAACUGCCACAACUGCCUGUGGUGGAGCAGCAGGUGGAAAACACCACUGUCCUGCAGCUCCCAUCCCUGAGACAGUUGCAUUCCAGUAACAGUUUGUACCAAAUCACUUCAAACUUAGCAGCUAAACCACAAAGAUCUGGCAUCUGUCACAGUCUCUGUCGGGGAGGCAGCAGGAGGGGCCUCACUCAGAGGCUCCUGCUAUGAGUCCCACGAGGCUGCGAUGGGGACAAGAUGUUUGCGGAUCUGAACGGUCAUGAUCAGCAUGGAAGGACCUGCCUCAGAGCUCAUGCUUGUGACUCCUGGAGAAAACCCUCAGAGUUAUUUAUUUAUUUAUACAAGAACCAGGGCACAAGCCAGAUGCGUGGGAGGGUGAGAGGAUUCACCAGAGACAGACUGGGGAACAGAGGAUGAGCAGCCCCACACCAUGACCCGCUGCCAGGAACUUUCAGAAAGAGGCUGGAGAAGGACAGACCUUGGGGCCCUCAAGAGACAGCUCAGGCCUGGAGGCCAGAAGACCCUGGAGCCAGGCCUGCCCAGUCCUCAGGGGAAUCCAGCCCAGACUCCAUGUCAGGCCCAGUGUCUUUGUUUUCAAAAAGAAGUGCACAGUAUUCAGAAAAAAGAAUAAUUGACCAAGUCUACAUCAAAAAGGGUAAGUUUGCAUUUUUGAUUUUUCUUGUUUUUCAUCAUUAGCGCUUGCCUAAGAAAGAAACUUGGUUUAUGGGAUUAUUACAAUUAUCAACUCUGGAAUUAAUUUAAAAUUCCAAUCCUAAGAAAAACUAGCAGCU